UGCAGUCGAACGAAGGCUUCGGCCUUAGUGGCGCACGGGUGCGUAACGCGUGGGAAUCUGCCCUUAGGUACGGAAUAACAGUGAGAAAUUACUGCUAAUACCGUAUGAUGACGUAAGUCCAAAGAUUUAUCGCCUAGGGAUGAGCCCGCGUAGGAUUAGCUAGUUGGUGAGGUAAAGGCUCACCAAGGCGACGAUCCUUAGCUGGUCUGAGAGGAUGAUCAGCCACACUGGGACUGAGACACGGCCCAGACUCCUACGGGAGGCAGCAGUGGGGAAUAUUGGACAAUGGGCGAAAGCCUGAUCCAGCAAUGCCGCGUGAGUGAUGAAGGCCUUAGGGUUGUAAAGCUCUUUUACCCGGGAAGAUAAUGACUGUACCGGGAGAAUAAGCCCCGGCUAACUCCGUGCCAGCAGCCGCGGUAAUACGGAGGGGGCUAGCGUUGUUCGGAAUUACUGGGCGUAAAGCGUACGUAGGCGGCUUUGUAAGUUAGAGGUGAAAGCCUGGUGCUCAACACCAGAACUGCCUUUAAGACUGCAUCGCUUGAACGUCGGAGAGGUGAGUGGAAUUCCGAGUGUAGAGGUGAAAUUCGUAGAUAUUCGGAAGAACACCAGUGGCGAAGGCGGCUCACUGGACG
rnacentral:rRNA from 1 species